rnacentral:ncRNA from 1 species
GUGCCCCUAAAAGCAGGUAUCCGCUAAAGAGUGUGUUAAAACUCACCUGCCGAAUACUAGGGCCCCGAAAAUGAAUGGCGCAUAUAGUACUACCGAUCUCAGACAUCAGUUCUAUUGAACUGAGAGUAGGGGGAUGUGGACAUUUUUGUGAAGGUGCAAUGUGAGUUGGACUGGAAGAAUGUCUAUUACAGAUCCUAAUUGAAGUAGCGAUUAUCCAGGCUUGUAUCCUGGGGGCUGAUGAGGAGUAGGGUUUCUGGACAACUUAAACAGAUCCAGAGUUAGUCGAUCCUAAUCUCAAUAAUGGGAGAAAGGGAGUACAGUUGAUAUUCUGUAACUGACAACAGUUCGCGGCAACGCAUACUAUUUUUCUCCGCCAAUCUUAUACCGUUGGUAGGGAUCUCUUUCCUACAUGACAGUACUAAUACCCAGGGAAACUGGUCAUCAGGCGAACUGCGGCGUUCUGCUGGCAAAACAUAGCUUCGGUUAUGUCAAUGGCUAUUGGAUUGGUCCAUGAAGCGAAAAAUAGUUUACUGUGUCACUCGUACCGAUAACCGCAUCAGGUCUUCUAGGUAAGUAGCCUAUGGCCAUUGAGGCAUGAUAGUUCAGGGAAUUCGGCCAAUUAGAGCUGUAACUUCGGGAUAAAGCUUGGCUCUGAUGAAAAUCAGAACCGAUUGUUACGCGGAGAGCCCCACUGUUUAAUAAAAACGUAGUGUCGCGCUGUGGUAGUAUAGCCAGUGAACGCGACAUGAAUCCUGCUCAGUGCUGUGUC